rnacentral:misc_RNA from 1 species
UUUUUUCUUUUUUUUAAGCAUAGUCUGAGAGAGUUUUCCAGGUUAGGUGCCUUUCCUUCUCUCAUUUCUAUGAAUGCCAGCAUCAUUUUACUUCUUUAAGCUCUGACAGGCGUUCCUCAGCAAGCGGAUUUGAUAAUUCUCAAACCCAAAAGGUGAACAAUUAAUAAGUCACCACCAAGCUUCCAUCUUUUUAUUCUUACAUUGAUCUCUGCUCAACAUUACUUUUUUAUUUUCAAUCGAUUUCUCGUCUGGAAGAUUGUUAAUUUUGGAUCUCAUUGCAUAUUGGGGUUUUUGAUCUGAAAUGUUAGCUGAGGUGGAGAGGAUUUUUGUUUCUGUUGUAGACAUGUGUUUGGUUAAUGGGUUUUCUUUCUUGAUGCCUAAAAUGAUCAUUUCGGCCGAAAAUUUUUGAUUUUUUGCAGUGUAUUUCAUGAACUAGAGGUUGAAUUUCGAACUUAGGUAAGGCUUCUCACGAGGCAGUUAGGGUUUUAAGAUUUUAUCGCUGUUGGGUCGUUUGGGGUUUUGAGAAUUUAUUGAUUAUGAACGCACUUGGCGAAUCAUCUGAAUCUGGUUCUAUUUUAUCUAGUCCCAAGUUGUCAAAAAGUGUGAAUUUACGCGAUGAUGAUGCUUUUCCUAGGCAAGUGUCACCUAUUAGGAUUGGUGGCUCGAGGAAUACAAGCCCCUUGGGCCGUGUUGGAUCAAGAAAUACCAGUCCUUCUAGGCAGAAGGCGAUUAAGACCAAACCACGGGGUUUAGAUGAGGAAACAGUGGCUACAUUUGGUAAAGCUGUUUACCCUGAUGUUCAAAUGGAGGAUAACAUAUGGGCAAUGUUGCCUGAAGAUCUACUGAAUGAGAUUUUGGCUAGGGUUCCUCCUUUUAUGAUAUUUCGACUUCGAUCAGUUUGUAAAAGAUGGAAUUCUAUUCUUCAAGACAGCAGUUUUCUUAAAUUUCACUCACAAGUGCCAUCUCAUGGGCCUUGUAUUUUGACAUUUUGGAAAAACUCACAGACACCACAAUGCUCAGUUUUUAGCUUGCCUUUGAAAACAUGGUACAGAAUUCCUUUCACAUUUUUACCGCAGUGGGCAUUUUGGUUGGUUGGUUCCUCAGGGGGCCUUGCUUGCUUUUCUGGGCUUGAUGGGCUAACUUUCAAAACUUUAGUUUGUAAUCCUCUCACUCAAACUUGGAGAACGUUGCCAAGCAUGCAUUAUAAUCAACAAAGGCAAUUGAUAUUGGUUGUUGAUAGAACGGAUAGGUCGUUUAAAGUGAUAGCCACCAGUGAUAUUUAUGGUGAUAAGUCAUUGCCUACUGAAGUGUAUGAUUCGAAGCUUGACAGAUGGUCACUCCACCAAAUAAUGCCUGCAGUCAAUCUUUGUUCUUCAAAGAUGGCAUAUUGUGACUCGAGAUUGUAUCUGGAAACUCUUUCACCACUUGGUUUGAUGAUGUAUCAGCUUGACGCAGGUUACUGGGAACACAUUCCAGCCAAGUUCCCACGGUCUUUGUUGGAUGGCUAUUUGGUGGCUGGCACUCAGAAGCGUCUGUUUCUAGUCGGAAGAAUUGGCCUUUAUAGUACUCUUCAAAGCAUGAGAAUUUGGGAGUUGGAUCACACAAAGAUUGUGUGGCUGGAGAUUAGUAGGAUGCCACCAAAGUAUUUUCGGGCUUUGUUGAGGUUAUCAGCAGAGAGAUUUGAGUGCUUUGGGCAGGAUAAUUUGAUCUGCUUCACAUCUUGGAACCAAGGCAAGGGCCUUCUGUAUGAUGUAGAUAAGAAGGUUUGGUCUUGGAUUGCUGGGUGCGCUCUUCAGUCAUAUAACAGUCAGGUGUGUUUCUAUGAGCCAAGAUUUGAUGCUUCCAUUUACUAGGCUGACAAUUUUGUGGUUUGCAGCUUCAAUCGUUCUCAUGUUAUUCAGUGGAUCAUGAGGAAGUUGAGUGUUAUCUUUGUUUUUUGUUUUCUACUUCUUUCCAUCUAUCCGUCGUCUCUCUCUUUUGCACUUUUGUAAGGGUUCUCUUCUCCGGCCUAUUGACUAAUGAUUCAAGUUACUUUAGUUUUGCACACUGGAUUGGUAUUAUUGGGGCAGCAGUAGGAAGCAGGUUAAAUUAGCAAGAUUUUCAAAUGUGCUGUCAAUGAUGUCACGACCUUGUUCCAAGGUUCUGUCCUGCAUGUGGAUUGAGCAUCACCUGGUGCCAAGGCAUUGUGAUGCACAUGGACUGACCACUGUUACACUCUGAUCACUUGAUGAGGAAUGGGCUUGUUAAAGAAUGUGCUUAAUGGAUAAUGAUGUCUUGGGGGAAAUUGCAAGAAGAUUUUUCCCCUUUUCCUGCUUAUGUACAUUCUCUGAAAAUGGUUAUCAAAUGAAAAUUUUGCAACUUGAACUUCUGUGAUAUCCUUGCUCAUAAUGUAUUUUUGUGGUGCUAAUUUUGCAAUUGUCAAUCCUAGUUUAAAUGAUCUGGUUGCUUUACUCUUAUAA